rnacentral:rRNA from 1 species
AUUGAACGCUGGCGGCAGGCUUAACACAUGCAAGUCGAACGAGUGGCGGACGGGUGAGUAAUAUCUGGGAACGUGCCUGAUGGAGGGGGAUAACUACUGGAAAGGGUAGCUAAUACCGCAUACCAUCAGAUGUGCCCAGAUCGGAUUAGCUUGUUGGUGGGGUAAAGGCUCAACAAGGCAACGAUCCCUAGCUGGUCUGAGAGGAUGAGCAGCCACACUGGGACUGCGACACGGCCCAGACUCCUACGGUAGGCAGCAGUGGGGAAUAUUGCACAAUGGGCGCAAGCCUGAUGCAGCCAUGCCGCGUGUAUGAAGAAGGCCUUCGGGUUGUAAAGUACUUUCAGUCGGGAGGCGUUACCCACAGAAGAAGCACCGGCUAACUCCGUGCCAGCAGCCGCGGUAAUUC